rnacentral:rRNA from 1 species
UACGUAGGCAGCAAGCGUUGUUCGGAAUUACUGGGCGUAAAGAGUGUGUAGGCGGUGCUCUAAGUUCGGUGUGAAAUCUCCCGGCUCAACUGGGGAGGGUCACGCGAUACUGAUCGACUCGAAGGCAGGAGAGGGUAGUGGAAUUCCCGGUGUAGUGGUGAAAUGCGUAGAUAUCAGGAGGAACACCUGUGGUGUAGACAGCUUACUGGACCACUUCUGACGCUGAGACACGAAAGCGUGGGGAGCGAACAGG